rnacentral:rRNA from 1 species
GUUUAAUUCGAUGCAACGCGAAGAACCUUACCUGGUCUUGACAUCCACGGAAGUUUUCAGAGAUGAGAAUGUGCCUUCGGGAACCGUGAGACAGGUGCUGCAUGGCUGUCGUCAGCUCGUGUUGUGAAAUGUUGGGUUAAGUCCCGCAACGAGCGCAACCCUUAUCCUUUGUUGCCAGCGGUCCGGCCGGGAACUCAAAGGAGACUGCCAGUGAUAAACUGGAGGAAGGUGGGGAUGACGUCAAGUCAUCAUGGCCCUUACGACCAGGGCUACACACGUGCUACAAUGGCGCAUACAAAGAGAAGCGACCUCGCGAGAGCAAGCGGACCUCAUAAAGUGCGUCGUAGUCCGGAUUGGAGUCUGCAACUCGACUCCAUGAAGUCGGAAUCGCUAGUAAUCGUGGAUCAGAAUGCCACGGUGAAUACGUUCCCGGGCCUUGUACACACCGCCCGUCACACCAUGGGAGUGGGUUGCAAAAGAAGUAGGUAGCUUAACCUUCGGGAGGGCGCUUACCACUUUGUGAUUCAUGACUGGGGUGAAGUCGUAACAAGGUAACCGUAGGGGAACCUGCGGUUGGAUCACCUCCUUA